GGAGGCUGAAAGUCCAAAGCAGGGUCUCGGCCCUGUGGAUUCCUUCCUUGCUGGGGGUUCCUUGGUUCUUGGUGAUCCUCACAUGGCAUCAGUUUUCCCCAGUAUGUGCUCAUAUGUCUUUGUGUUUAUGUUCUUCCUGUAUCUCAGAAGUGAUUAGGUUUAGGAUACACUCUACAAUGGUAUAAUAUUAACCAUUAAUAUGACAAAGAAAACACUACUUCUGAACAGGGUUACUUCCACAGGAAUAAGGAUUAGGAUUCCAACACAUAUUUUUGGGGAGACACAGUUCAAUUCAUAACAGUGGUCUUAGCCUCAUAGCUACCCAUAGAGACACCCAGAGCUAACUAAAGCUUUGGCUUGUAGGUGUUCUUCCAAAGCAGACAAUGUGCUUGUCCCCAGAGAAAAUACACGCUUACAUCCAGAUCACUUUUUUUCUGAGGGCCCAGUAGAAAUGACCCAGGUAUGAUUUGUGCCAUGUCUUUUCAUUUGUAAGACAGGCAGAAGACCUACUGUAAGGCCUGCCUCAUAAAUUCAGCUUGGGAUCAAAUGAGAUAACAGAUGUAAAACCCUUAGUACAGUGCCUGGCAUGUUACAAAGACAAUAUAUGCUAAUUUGCAGUAGACAUCUGGUUUUGAUCUGCCCAGCAUCCAUAUCUCCUUUGGAAAACAGUCCCCCUCCCAGUUCACAGGGCCUUGGUGGACCUGGAACUGAGAAUGGGCUAGUCAUAGUACCCUUUCCCCCAACUACAGCAGGACAGUAUUUGGCCAACAAGCAAAGAAAUGCAGAGAAAGAUGGAUGGACAGAAAGAGGGUCCUGGCAUACCUGGGACCAACUAUGGUCCUUAAAUCCUUGGCUCCUAUAGCUCCUUCUUUAAUUCUGCAAACCACCCUGGGCCAUGCCACAGAGAUGAGCAUUUUCCAGUACCACACAAGCCACAAGUUCCCUUUUUGCCUAAGAGGCUUGAGUUGGGUUUCUAUAAAUUGCUAUUGGGAUGACCCCACCAUCGCCAUGGAGGGAGAGUGACAGGGUAUGAUGCAAUCAGCACACAGGGCUAGAGAGGGUGGGGCAAUACCCUUUCAGGUGCCCACAACUGAGAAGUGAGAAUGUUCUCAGCUAGUACAGUCACUGGGUCUUAGUCACUGACAUUUAAACAGGCUGCAGAAUAUCUCCUUUCAUCUGCCUUUCAUGUGCCCUCGAAGGGUUACAUCAUGUGGCUUACCACUGAAAGUCACACUUCUCUUCUGAGACUCAAAGACAACAAGUCAAGCUAAGGACCUGGGAGCAGUAUUGUAGUGAUAGGAACCUUUGGCUGCUUCAGAUGAGCCUGGGCAUCCAGUGGUCACAUCGGUCAGUCACAACCCAGGCCACUGGCAGGAAGGAAAACAGGGUGGGCAUAGUGAGCAGAGAAUAUCAGCUGGAAAAUAGACACUAACCCUAGGGCAGUUUCUAUGUUUUAAUUAUGUUUGGUCUUCAUGGUUGAGUGCAGGACCAGAUUCCUUAUUACAUUCUGUAUUAAGGUCUCAGUACAUGGAUUAGGGAAACCCUGGUGGUGUAGUGAUUAAGUGCUACAGCUGCUAACCAAAAGGUCAGCAGUUCGAAUCCGCCAGGCGCUCCUUGGAAACUCUAUGGGGCAGUUCUACUCUGUCCUAUAGGGUUGCUAUGAGUUUGAAUCUACUGGACGGCAGUGGGAUAUGGAUUAGACUACCAUCUACCAUUUUGUCAUACUGUGGUGGCUUGCAUGUUGCUGUGAUGCUGGAAGCUAUGCCACCAGUAUUUCAAAUACCAGUAGGGUUGCGCAUGAUGGACAGGUUUCAACGGAGCUUCCAGACCAAGAUAGAAUAGAAGGAAAGAUCUGAUUAUCUAGUUCCAAAAAUCAACCAAUGAAAACCCUGUGGAUUAUAACGGAAUAGUGUUUGAUUUCGUGCUGGAAGAUAAGUCCCCUAGGUUGGAAGGCACUACAAAAUGGCGAGAACAAUGGACUCAAACAUACCAACAAUUAUGAAGAUGACUCAAAACCAAGCAACAUUUACUUAUGUUGUACAUAGGUCACAAUGCAUCAGAGCUGACUCAGCAACUAACAAUAACAACAUAGACUGGAAUCUGACUGGACAAGCAACACAUGUUUAACUUGCUCCAGCUGUAUAGGAAGCAAAGGAUGAGGUCUGCCCACUGGGUGAAAAGGCACAAGACACAGCUCCUGCCUUCAAGAAAGUCCACCAAAGAGAGGGAGAUGAGAAAGUUCAUGUGCUGGUGGAAGUCAGAGUAGAAGAAAUGGUUUGUCACCCAAGACAAAAGUGAGGCUCAGAGAAGUUAAGUGCUGUAACUUGCCCAAGGUCACACAAUAGAGCAGCACUCACAGAAGUCCAUUAAGUGAAUGAGCAAGGCUUGGCUGAGACUCUCUCCUCCCUGAGCUCUGGCAUAUAGCAGGAGUGUCCUUUACCCUGAACUUCCUCCUGAGAGGUGUCAGAAACUAUGGCUUCCAGACAACUAACUCACGGUUUGACUUAGUCAGACCCUGUGAGCGAAAACGGGUCCCCUGCAUGGUGCAGACGGUUACUACACUAGACUGCUAACCAAAAGGUCUGGAGAUUUGAAUCCACCCAGAGGCACCUCGAAAAAAUCUACUUCCCAAAAAAUCAGCCAUGGAAAACCCUAUGGAGUACAGUUCUACUUUGACGCACAUGGGGUUGUCAAGAGUCAGAAUUGACUCAACAACAACUAGAUUUUAUGAGAUAUAAAGAGGACAGCAAGCCCAUCACAAGUACCUCAUCACUUACAGACUAAGGGGAGAUAGCAUCAUGGGAAAAUGGAUCUGCUCAGAUGGUCUGUUCUCUGGCCUUCGUCCAAAGUGUGCCAGUCAUAUGAUAUCAAGGAAGACCCCAGGUGGCCCUACCCUCUGGAAAUGAGUGGGAUUGGAAUGAAAUGGGAUAAUCAGUUUUGUUUCUGUUGUUGACUCUUGCCAGAGGAAGCUUUGAAGAAGAUGGCUGUGUUAAUAAUCUCCUUGUCCCACCUGCAGAAUCAUGAUGCUUCACCCCAGCCCCAUACCAAUCUGUUCUUCAAGCUCCAUCCCCCUCCCCAUUUCUGCCAUGCUUUGCCCACACUGUAUCUACUCUUCAUCCUCAAACAUACCAUGCACUUUGACUUGAGCCUCUGUUGUUCCUUCUACCUAAAAUAAUUCUCCUUUCCACUCUUCUCUUAGCCAUUUAUACACAAAUCAGAAGUCACCUUCUUCCUGUAGUUUGCCUCAACAUGUCAGGCAAAAUUACUCUCUCAUUGGAAUCCCGAUAGCACUUUUGUACUUCACUCUGUAUCACUCAUUCCAUUGUAUGAGGGUUGUUUGAUCACGUUUCUAUCUCACUGGUUGGUUAAUGCACUCUUUGGAGGGUAGGGUCUACUUCUUAUUCCUAUUUACAUCCUUGGAUCCUAGAACAAACCCAGAACAAAGAAGGGGCUCAAUUAAUGUUUUUGGGAAGUGGCAGCAGCAGCAGCAGAAGAUAUUCUUUGUACGCACAUCUAUGUUCAUUGCAGCAUUAUUUACAAUAGCAAAAAAAAAAAAAUGGAACCAGCCUAAGCGCCCUUCAACAGAUGAAUGGAUAAGCAAAAUAUGGUACAUACAUACUAUGGAAUACUACUCAAGCAUAAAGAACAAUGAUGAGUCCGUGAAACAUACUAUAAUGUAGAUGGUUCCGGAGGACAUAAUGUUAAGGGAAAUUAGUCAAUCACAUAAUGUCAUGGAUUGAAUUAUGUCCCCCAAAAAAUGUGUGUAACAAUUUGUCUGGGCCAUGAUUCCCUGUAUUGUGUGAUUUUCUUAUAUGUUGUAAAUCCUGCCACUAUGAUGUUAAUGAGGACGUAUGGGUGGCAGUUGUGUUAGUGAGGCAGGACUCAAUCUACAAGAUUGUGUUGUGUCCUGAGGCAACCUCUUGAGAUUUAAAAGAAAGAAGCGAGCAGAGAGACAGGGGGACCUCAUACCACCAAGAAAGCAGCACCAGGAGCACAGCAUGUCCUUUGGACCCGAGGUCCCUGUGCCUGAGAAGCUCCUCGACCAUGGGAAGAUUGAGGACAAGGACCUUCUUCUAGAGCUGACAGAGAAAGAAAGCCUUCCCCUGGAUCCAGCUGACGCCUUGAAUUUUGACUUUUAGCCUACUUUACUGUGAGGAAAUAAAUUUCUCUUUGUUAAAGCCAUCCACUUGUGAUAUUUCUGUUAGGGCAGCACUAGAUGACUGAGACACACAAGGAUGAAUAUUAUAUGAGCCCAAUUUAUAAGAAAACAAGAAUAGAUAUACAUACUGAGACCAACGUUCAUUGGUGAUUACCAGGGAUGGGGAAAGGGGGUCACUCUUUAGGUUCUAGAUACUUGUUAUUUAUGGUGAUGGGAAAAGUAGCACGAAACGUGGGUGCAAUGGGCACAGCUUGACCAAAGUAAACAAUACCACUAAAAAGCCUACAAGAGAAUAGAACGUGUUAAAGAAUAUGACAUAUAUAAUUUGGCAACAACAGGAAAAAUAACUGAAAGACAACUGUAUGGUCACAUAUGUAUGUGUAUAGGCAUAUAUGUGUAUAGGUAGGUACAGGUAUGUACAUAUGUGUACACAGAUAGAAGUAUGUAUAUGUAGUGUACAUACAGAUAUGUGUGUGCAUACAUAUAUGUUCACGGAGGACACAGUUACUGAUACUUCUCAGACAUAACCAAGUACCAUGAGAGAAUGGUUUUCUGGGUUUGAAGGCUUAGGACCUUAGUCUCAUGGGACAACUCAGUCAAUCGGCAUAAUAUCAUUCACAAAGUUCACGUUCUGCAUCCUAGCAAGGUGAGUAGCAUCUAAAAUUUCAAAAGGAGCCAUUUAAGAUACAACUAUCAGUCUCUACUUGUCAGGAGCAAAACGGAGAGAAGGAAACCAAAGUCUCAGAGAAGAAACUAGUCUACAGGGCUAAAAUCCUAUACGAGCCACAGCCCCAUUUACCCUGAGACCAGAACUAUAUGGUGUCUGGCUUCCUGUACCAACCAUUCUGAUCAGGGCCAAAAUAGAUGAACACUGAUAGAACGGGAGGAAAACGCAAAACAGAACUCAAAUUCUUAAAAAGUCCAGACUUACUGGACCAGCUGAGACUAGAGAACCUCUUGAGACUAUCUUCUGAGAUACUCCUUAAAUCUAGAGUCGAAACCAUCCCGAGGUCACCUUUUAGUGAAAUAACAGAUUGGCACACAAAAUAAAUGAUAUUACCCAUGAGUAUGGUGCUCCAUUAAAAAACCACCUAUAUGAGACGAAAAAGACGAAAAAGUCAACAAUUAGUAUAAAGCAAAGACGAGAUGGUAACGGGGCAGGGAAACUAGAGCCCUGGAAAUAGAAUAACCAGAACACAAUUAAAGAGAAUUGUCGCACUGUGAAAAAUGUAACUAAUGCCACUGUUAUGGAUUGAAUUAUGUCCCCCCAAAAUAUGUGUCACCUUGGUUAGGCCAUGGUUCCCAGUAUUGUGUGGUUGUCCUCCAUUUUGUGAUUGCAAUUUUAUGUUAAAGAGGAUUAGAGUAGGAUUGUAACACCCUUACUAAGGUCAUAUCCCUGAUCCAAUCUAAAGGGAGUUUUCCUGGAGUGUGGCCUGCACUACCUUUUAUCUUAAAACAGAUGAAAGGAAACGGAAGCAAGCAGAGAGCGGGGACCUUAUACCACUGGGAAAGAAGAUCCAAGAGCAGAGCUCAUCCUUUAGACCCUGCGUUCCUGUGCAGAGAAGCUCCUAGUCCAGGGGAAGAUUGACGAGAAGGACCUUCCUCCAGAGCUGAGAGAGAAAGACUUCCCCUGGAGCUGAUGCCCUGAAUUUGGACUUUUAGCCUACUUUACUGUGAAUAAAUAAAUUUCUCUUUGUUAAAGCCAUCCACUUGUCAUAUUUCUGGUAUAGCAGCACUGGAUGACCACAACAGCCACUGAACAAUUUGUGUUGAAAUUG